rnacentral:rRNA from 1 species
GUUGAACGCUGGCGGAAUGCUUUACACAUGCAAGUCGAACGGCAGCACGGACUUCGGUCUGGUGGCGAGUGGCGAACGGGUGAGUAAUGUAUCGGAACGUGCCCAGUCGUGGGGGAUAACGUAGUGAAAAUUACGCUAAUACCGCAUACGAUCUAUGGAUGAAAGCGGGGGACCGCAAGACCUCGCGCGAUUGGAGCGGCCGAUAUCAGAUUAGGUAGUUGGUGGGGUAAAGGCCCACCAAGCCAACGAUCUGUAGCUGGUCUGAGAGGACGAGCAGCCUCACUGGAACUGAGACACGGUCCAGACUCCUACGGGAGGCAGCAGUGGGGAAUUUUGGACAAUGGGCGAAAGCCUGAUCCAGCCAUUCCGCGUGCAGGAUGAAGGCCCUCUGGUUGUAAACUGCUUUUGUACAGAACGAAAAGGUUUCUACUAAUACUAGGAGCUCAUGACGGUACUGUAAGAAUAAGCACCGGCUAACUACGUGCCAGCCGCCGCCGUAA